CACCUCUCGUCGCUCCUACCGAUUGAAUGGUCCAGUGAAGUUUUUGGAUUGCAGCGAUGCUGGCGGUUUGCCGCCAGUGAUGUUGGGAGAAGUUCAUUAAACAUUAUCAUUUAGAGGAAGGAGAAGUCGUAACAAGGUUUCCGUAAGUGAACCUACGGAAG
rnacentral:ncRNA from 2 species